GGAAAAUGCGGCAUACCCGAAAGCCUGCCUGCCGGCAGGCAGGGGUAUCGUGAGUUCGAAUCUCACCCCCUCCG
rnacentral:tRNA from 1 species